rnacentral:tRNA from 1 species
AGGGAUAUAACUCUGUGGUAAAGUGUCACCUUGACAUGGUGAAGUUAUCAGUUCGAGCCUGAUUAUCAGUU